UACAGGGGGUGCAAACGUUGCUCGGAAUCAUUGGGCGUAAAGCGCACGUAGGCGGUUCGUUAUGUCGGAUGUGAAAGCCCUUGGCUUAACUGAGGAAGUGCAUCCGAAACUGGCAGGCUUGAGUACGAAAGAGGGUCGCGGAAUUCCCGGUGUAGAGGUGAAAUUCGUAGAUAUCGGGAGGAACACCGGUGGCGAAGGCGGCGACCUGGUUCGAUACUGACACUGAAGUGCGAAAGCGUGGGGAGCAAACAGG
rnacentral:rRNA from 1 species